rnacentral:lncRNA from 1 species
UCUCCUGCCAUGUUAAACAGUAUAUAUGAUUCUGAUGAUCUGAAGUUGAAGCAGGAUGAGUGCGAUCACUUAUGGAAAUGUUGAGGAGUUCUCGAACCGUCUGGCGGAGUGUACAUUGGAAGGGAAAUGGGAUGAGGUUGAGGAGAUGUACAAUGAAUUCCCAGCGUGUCACACGACAAUGAUUGACGAUUUCGUCGGCACUGCACUGCAN